CAGCAGCCACGGUAACACGUAGGUGGCAAGCGUUGUCCGGAAUUAUUGGGCGUGAAGGGCUCGCAGGCGGUUUCUUAAAUCUGAUGUGAAAGCCCCCGGCUCAACCGGGGAGGGUCAUUGGAAACUGGGAAACUUGAGUGCAGAAGAGGAGAGUGGAAUUCCACGUGUAGCGGUGAAAUGCGUAGAGAUGUGGAGGAACACCAGUGGCGAAGGCGACUCUCUGGUCUGUAACUGACGCUGAGGAGCGAAAGCGUGGGGAGCGAACAGGAUUAGAUACCCGCGUAGUCCCUGUCUCUUAUAU
rnacentral:rRNA from 1 species